rnacentral:rRNA from 1 species
AUUGAACGCUGGCGGCAGGCCUAACACAUGCAAGUCGAGCGGAUGAGGAGAGCUUGCUCUCUGAUUCAGCGGCGGACGGGUGAGUAAUGCCUAGGAAUCUGCCUGGUAGUGGGGGACAACGUUUCGAAAGGAACGCUAAUACCGCAUACGUCCUACGGGAGAAAGUGGGGGAUCUUCGGACCUCACGCUAUCAGAUGAGCCUAGGUACGAUUAGCUAGUUGGUGAGGUAAAGGCUCACCAAGGCGACGAUCGUUAACUGGUCUGAGAGGAUGAUCAGUCACACUGGAACUGAGACACGGUCCAGACUCCUACGGGAGGCAGCAGUGGGGAAUAUUGGACAAUGGGCGAAACCCUGAUGCAGCCAUGCCGCGUGUGUGAAGAAGGCCUUCGGGUUGUAAAGCACUUUCAGCGAGGAGGAAAGGUUGGUAGCUAAUAACUGCCAGCUGUGACGUUACUCGCAGAAGAAGCACCGGCUAACUCCGUGCCAGCAGCCGCGGUAACAC